GCGGUAUAUUGACCGUGCGAAGGUAGCAUAAUCAUUAGUCUUUUAAUUGAAGGCUUGUAUGAAUGGUUGGACAAAAAGUAAGCUGUCUCAAUUAUAAUAAUUGAACUUAACUUUUAAGUGAAAAGGCUUAAAUAAAUUAAGGGGACGAUAAGACCCUAUAAAGCUUGACAAUAAUUUAAUUAUACUAUCAAUUGUUAGUGUAACUUGGUUUUAAUUAACAUUUGUUGCGUUGGGGCGAACGAGAAUAUAAUAAGUAACUGUUCUUAAAUAUUUAAUAACAAAUAUAAUUGAAAAUUAGUGUGAUCCUCUAUUAGCGAUUAAAAGAUUAAGUUACUUUAGGGAUAACAGCGUAAUCUUCUUUGAGAGUCCCUAUCGACAAGAAGGUUUGCGACCUCGAUGUUGAAUUAACGUCAUCGCUUAUCAUGCAAGCAGAUA
rnacentral:rRNA from 1 species